rnacentral:rRNA from 1 species
GAGACUCUGUGCGCGUGCAUAUCAAUAAGCGGAGGAAAAGAAACUAACAAGGAUUCCCUUAGUAACGGCGAGUGAAGCGGGAAGAGCUCAAAUUUGAAAUCUUCAAGGUUCUACCUUGACGAAUUGUAGUUUAUAGAAGUGUUUUCUGUUAGUAGAGUGGCUAAAAGUUCUUUGGAAUAGGACAUCAUAGAGGGUGAGAAUCCCGUAUUUGGUCAUUCCUUCUAGCGUUGUGAUACACUUUCAACGAGUCGGAUUGUUUGGGAAUGCAGUCCAAAAUGGGUGGUAAAUUUCAUCUAAAGCUAAAUAUUGGCGAGAGACCGAUAGCGAACAAGUACCGUGAGGGAAAGAUGAAAAGAACUUUGAAAAGAGAGUUAAACAGUACGUGAAAUUGUCAGAAGGGAAGCGUUUGACACCAGUGUUGUUUUUCCGAAAAUCAAUUACGAAUGUUUUAGUUUUUAAGGAGUGAUGACUUCAUCGGCUUGCUUCUCUCUUUAUGAAACUUUCUUAAUGCACUUUUCGGUUAACAAGUCAACAUCAAUUUCUUUUGUUGUAAAAGGGGUAUGAGGAAGGUGGCUUUCUUUCGGAGAAAGUGUUUAUAGCCUUGUAGCCUCUGCAAUCGGAGAGAUUGAGGUCUGCAGCGUAGAUCCUUCGGGGUUAGAUACAGUUUGUGCUAAGUUAUAGCCUUUUCAUAGACAACUUGUUGACUAUGUUUAGUCUUGUAGCUUACUCGCUUAUGCUAUUUUACCUACGCUUAGGAUGUUGAAGAUGUAGCACAUCAU